rnacentral:rRNA from 1 species
AACGAACGCUGGCGGCAGGCCUAACACAUGCAAGUCGAACGCUUCAGCAAUGAAGAGUGGCAGACGGGUGAGUAACGCGUGGGAACCUUCCCAGUGGUACGGAAUAGCCCAGGGAAACUUGGGGUAAUACCGUAUAAGCCCCUCGGGGGAAAGAUUUAUCGCCAUUGGAUGGGCCCGCGUCGGAUUAGCUUGUUGGUGAGGUAAAAGCUCACCAAGGCGACGAUCCGUAGCUGGUCUGAGAGGAUGAUCAGCCACACUGGGACUGAGACACGGCCCAGACUCCUACGGGAGGCAGCAGUGGGGAAUAUUGGACAAUGGGCGCAAGCCUGAUCCAGCCAUGCCGCGUGAGUGACGAAGGCCUUAGGGUUGUAAAGCUCUUUUGGCGGGGACGAUAAUGACGGUACCCGCAGAAUAAGCUCCGGCUAACUUCGUG